AUUUUCAGUUUUGUGUGAGCAAGUUUUUCUAGUGUAGGAAGAUGUAAAGGUAUGAAAUUUUGAGAAUUGUAUCUUAAACUUGUGUCAUAAUUUCCAACAUCCAAACCUGAAAAUUGUGACUUAUGGUUAAAAUGCCUUAGGCAUGAGGCUUCUCCUCAGAAUUCCAGUUUUUCUUGCUCCUUCCAGACCUCAGGCAGGAUUUAAAUUGAAAUGCAAAUACAAGAAGCCUGGAGCUCAGUAGGAGACAGAUCUGAGGCCCAAGGGAAAAAAAAAAAGUAAAUGUGUCUUUUAUCUGAACUCAAACUAGAUUAAACCAAAAAUAAAUUGUGUGGUAUCUACUAAUAACUGGCCAGUCAUGUUUUUUUCUAG
rnacentral:lncRNA from 1 species